CUAGAGUUCACUGCACAUUCCUCACCUCUGCCAACCCAGCAAGUUGAAGGAGAAAUCAUGGUCUGCAUUUCUCUGAAGUAAUGUACUUAGCAAAUCAACAUGAGUCUAAAUUUAUACUGCCACAAUUAUAUCAUUCUUGAUGGUGUAUACCUAAAACAUCCAUAGUAGGAUACAUAUAAGUGCUGCAAAGAAUUCAAUCAAACUUGUACUCCAUCUACAAGAAGCAUUCAAGUGUUAAAUUUCUUUUACCUGCAAGUUACCCAGUGGAACGGGAAUGCAUACUUGGAUAAAAAGGACCAGUGCCAAGAGAGUGAGAUUUGGGGUGCUCAUAUGAGAAUUUUCUGACAUCUAUGUUAUUGCAGAAAGUAAUAGAAUAUAAAGCUGACCUUGAGGGUGGUAUGACUAGGUUUACCAGACAACUGGCCAAAACAGGACAUACCUUCCUUUUUCUCCUCAUAUCUUCUCUCCAGAUAGCAUUAACAUCAAAUAUGUUCUGUCUUUUUGUGUAUUUCUUUCUGAGCAGCUUUCCUCCACCACACAAGUGCUUCUCUAGUAAAUGCUAACUACAAGUUAACAAUCUCAGCUCUGUGACUUUAUUUAUUUGGUGAGCACCCUCUACCUGCUUGUGCUGCUGCCUGAACCUGACAAGAAUGUAAUCAGUUAAACAUGGAAAGAUUUUAUCUUCUAAUGGUUCUAGCACAUUCCUGCCACUGAAAAACCUAAUGCAGGAAAAAGUAACUUUAUGUACAUGUAGGCAUUAAUACAUUUUUUGCAGCUUUUCUCUCUAAUUUUUAUCACAGAUGCCAAGAGAGUUAAACAGUGUGUCUUCUUCCUUUGUCCUUCCCUUUCUAUGUUCCCUUUCAAAUUGUCUGUAUCCUCCUUUGCCAAUACAGAUAUCUGGCAAAUCUAGGUAUGAAAGAGCUGUUAAGGGGAAAAAAGAAGAGUGAAACAUUAAGAGUGACUUGGAGAAAAUAGUACACAUAUAUUCCCUUGGAAAGAGAAGAAAAUAGGAGAAAGAAACCCCAAAUACUGUCUUGAUUUUGUUUAGCAUAAGACAUGCCAGAGAGACAUUUGGGCAGGUUUUCAAGAUUCUAAAUUAUUCCACCAUACGACAAUAAAAUAGCACACCUGGAAUUUCUGCAGUGUAUGUUUCUUGAUCUGGUUGACAUGGGAGCCUUGUCUGCUGAAGACAGCUUGUUGGUUGCAGCCUAAGAGGAGAUAGUGGGAUGGAGCUGGCAAGGAGGCCAGGUGGUGGUAUGAGCAAUAGAGCCUUGUUUUCUGCUGAUGGCAUGAUGAGCAAUAGUCUGCAGACCAUGGAGAACUCUUUAUAACUUAGCUCCCUUCGGCAGAUGAACAUUGUUAAGUGCUUCAUUCGCGUGCGAAUUGUGAAGACACAUGGCGAUGUUAAACAGCUCUUUAUUCUUCUCUAACAACAACCGAACGAACAGGCAAAAGCACGCAGGCUUUUUAUGUAUCCAGAGAUCUGGACAAUGUCAAAACAAAGUAAUAGAGCAUUUGCAUGCCUUGUGUAUGCACACAAGGCUGGCGCUGCUCAGUCUGGUCCCGGGCAGCUUUUGCAGGCAACAUCCCGAGCCUGCUUUUGCAGGCUCAGGACACAACAAACGUCCACCAAUCUGUUGCACUUGCUGCACCCAUCCUGGGACCGUGAUCUUACCCAUAACCUGAAUUCCAGGCCAGCAUGAGGAAAAAGAAGUU